rnacentral:rRNA from 1 species
CGGAUAGCUACGGGAAGCUGUAGGUAAUACGUCGUAUGCAGCGCUGACGGAGAGGUGAGUGCUGGAAAGGCUGGGACCGCGAGGCCAGUUGCCAUUUGAUGAGCCCAUGUCCCAUUAGCUAGUUGGCGGGGUAACGGCCCACCGAGGCAGAGAUGGGUAGCUGGUCUGAGAGGACGAUCAGCCACACUGGAACUGAGACACGGUCCAG